CUUCCCAUUACAAGAUCAUAGCCAGUUAUGCCACUAACACCAGGGUGCACGACGCAGACAUUCUCACCCUUUGACCAGAGGGUUUGCAUUGCAGCUAAGUCUCCAUGUUUGAAAGAGUUGUAAAAGCGAGCAUUUGCUGCUAGCACAGAGGCCUUACUGUCCUCCUGGAGAAGCCGGAGGCUAUCCCUAAUUGUUGCUGCUUGGGCAUAGUUUUCCUCUUUAAUAGCAUUCUUUAAAUCCUGCUCCAAGGUUUCCUCAUCUAGCAAGAUGUUUUCACCGAGGCUAUCCCUAAUUGUUGCUGCUCGGGCAUAGUUCUCCUCUUUAAUAGCAUUCUUUAAAUCCUGCUCCAAGGUUUCCUCAUCUAGCAAGAUGUUUUCACCACUCAAAGUUCCUUCCGAAUCCUCACGCAUGACGCGGCAUGGUCUCAGUGAAUUUGUAUGGGAACCUUGCCUAAAAGGUGCUGUUCUGGAUAAAUACACGAUUAGAUGUUUUUACAGCUUAGGAGAGAAGAUAUUGAAGUAAACAAAAAAUUAAAAAUAAAAAACGAACAGAUGUAACACGCUUAGCAGGUAUGAGACAUGCUGCAUGUAAUACCAAUCUCAAGACUUGUCUAAGAAACUGGCCUCUAGGAAUUUUGCAAACGUGCACUUUGAAACAACUGAUAAGGAGUAAAAUAUAGUCAGGAAGAAUCAGAAGCUAUGUUGCUCGGACUCUUCAAAAAUGUUGCCUCACCCGUGUCGGAUCCUCCAAAAAUGCACUACUUUUGGAGGAUCCAACACGCAUCCGACGGUAUUUUGAAGAGUCCGAGUAACAUAGAUCAGAAGCACAAUACUUAAAAUGGAAAAGAUAGGGUUUAGCUGUCCAAGGAAUCGGUUGCUUGCUUACACAAGAGAGAUUUCCUAGUAUCUUAGAUAGAGGCCCUAACCUCUAGAUGGUACAGAGAAAACAGAAGCAAGUGAAGGGCAGACUAUUUCCAUUUCUUAACUAAAUAAAUAUAAAGUUACGAUUAAGGUAAAGAAAAUUUCAAGAAGAUUACACAAUCUCAACUGAGUAGAAUUCGACAUCAACGCUUCCCAUCCUUAAGUGCAAAAGUUCCUCCUCAUUAAUGUAUGUGUUCAUCUUCAUGGAAGAUACCAAAGCACGCUUAACAAGAAAUAAACCUUAAAAGGAAUUGUUUUUUCCUGGUGAAAAUCACAAGUUUACACUAUUCUGUAAUUACACUGCAUUCACAAUACCACAUUGAGUGUUCCAUAUCUUGUCUAUUUAAAGUCACAGCAAAGUACAAAAAAAGAGUAAAUAAUAUAAAAUCAUAUUAUUACCAGAGACCCACCACUAAAACAAUGAUAAAUUAAAAUGAUUUAUAUCAAGCACUCAAAAGCAAAAGUUUUUACAUAAGUUAUUCAUUAAAAGAACAAACAUAGAGAUUGUUAACCAUAUAAUCCCGAUAUGAACUUAUAAACCAAAGAGAGCAACAGCACUAUGUGAACUGCAACUCUGAAGAUCAGCAUCAGACAAUAGCUACAUCAGCAGGCAAACAAGCAUCUAUAAAGGGAUGUAGAAGAUAAUGGACAAUUAAUGCAUUUAUCAAUCUGAUUCGUAAA
rnacentral:lncRNA from 1 species